ACAAGUAAAGAGACAAACAACACAAGCAAACACAGAGACUAUUUAUACAAAGAGAGAACCCUCUACAUGAAGACUGCUCCGGUCUAGUAAUCUUCCGGAGCCAAUGGUUGGUGGGUACUGUGGUGAGGAGGUUCGUUCACGCUGGGGAUGAUCAUGUACUCAUAGAUCAGUGCGGCGAGUGCACCACCAAUGAACGGUCCAACCCAAUAGAUCCAAUGGUUACUCCACCUCCAUCCCACUAAUGCUGGACCAAAGGCUCUAGCCGGAUUCAUAGAGGCUCCAUCGAAAGGUCCUCCCACCAAAAUGUUUGCCCCAACUAUGAGCCCGAUGGCUAGUGGCGCUAUGAUCCCAAUACUCCCCCUCUUUGGAUCGAUUGCGGUCGAGUAGACAACAUAAACCAAAGCAAAUGUAAGUAUGAUCUCCAUCAGUAGCCCAUGAAGCUCACUAACUCCUGAUGCUACA